UCAAAAGCGGGGGGAGUAAGCCCGGAGAAAUCCGGAUUAAUACCGCAUCGUGGACUCGUACGGAGUAAAGCGGGCCUCUUCUUGAAAGCUCGCACUUUGAGAUAAGCCUACGUCGGAUUAGCUUAGGUUGGUAGGGUAAAAAGCCUACCAAGGCGACGAUCCGUAGCUGGUUUGAGAGGAUGAUCAGCCACACUGGGACUGAGACACGGCCCAU
rnacentral:rRNA from 1 species